GUCUCUGAGUUGCUUAGGUCCUUGCUAAAUUGCUGAGGCUGGCUUUGAACUCAUGAUCCUCCUGCCGCAGCCUCCUGAGCUGCUGGUGUGCGCUACCACGCCCGGCUCCUACCUCCGUUUCUAUACCACAUUUUCUCAUUUUACUGACUUGGCAUUAUGACAUUGACCACUAAUGGUGUACUUUCCCCGUCUGCCUUUCAUGAGAUGGAAGCUCCUGAGAACAGGGUCAUGUCUGUCUGUUCCUCAUCAUACGCAGGUUCCUGUCCUGGGUCUACAGGUGGCAUCAUACGGUUAACAAGGCAUUAAGACCAUUUUGUGGAGUAUAUGAAAAGGCUGUUCUGGAAGACAACCAUGGAUUGGGGAAUCCAGAGGAGGAAGCCAUGGCUGCUUCUGGUUCCCAGAAUGAGGUGACAGGUGGGCUGCCGAGAAGGGUGAGGAGGUACCUCCUGAUCAGAGUGAUGAUUUUAGUAAUACCUGCCGGUACCACUUUGUGUUUUGUGACUAUUUGGUGGGUCCUUUUAUCCAGGCCUCCUAC
rnacentral:lncRNA from 1 species